rnacentral:rRNA from 1 species
UACGGAGGGUGCAAGCGUUGUUCGGAAUCAUUGGGCGUAAAGCGCGUGUAGGCGGCUUGGCAAGUCGGUUGUGAAAGCCCGGGCCCGCAACCCCGGAACUGCAUCUGAAACUGCCUGGCUAGAGUCCCGGAGAGGAAGGCAGAAUUCCCCGGUGUAGGGGUGAAAUCCGUAGAUAUCGGGAGGAAUACCAGCGGCGAAGGCGGCCUUCUGGACGGUGACUGACGCUGAGACGCGAAAGCGUGGGGAGCAAACAGG